rnacentral:rRNA from 1 species
UUAGAGGCACUGCCUGCCCAGUGACACACGUUUAACGGCCGCGGUACCCUGACCGUGCAAAGGUAGCAUAAUCACUUGUUCUCUAAAUAGGGACUCGCAUGAAUGGCAUCACGAGGGUUUAACUGUCUCUUACUUUCAACCAGUGAAAUUGACCUGUCCGUGAAGAGACGGACAUGUAUUAAUAAGACGAGAAGACCCUGCGGAGCUUCAAUUUACUAGUACAACUAAAAAUCACACAAACCCACAGGCCCUUAAACCCCCAUACCUGUACUAAAAAUUUUGGUUGGGGUGACCUCGGAGCACAAUCAAACCUCCGAACAAUCCAUGCUAAGACUACACAAGCCAAAGCAAACUAAUACUUGCAAUUGACCCAAUAAUUUGAUCAACGGAACAAGUUACCCCAGGGAUAACAGCGCAAUUCUAUUCUAGAGUCCAUAUCAACAAUAGAGUUUACGACCUCGAUGUUGGAUCAGGACAUCCUAAUGGUGCAGCAGCUAUCAAG